rnacentral:rRNA from 1 species
UGUGAGGGUUGCUGGAGGUAUCAGAAGUGCGAAUGCUGACAUAAGUAACGAUAAAGCGGGUGAAAAGCCCGCUCGCCGGAAGACCAAGGGUUCCUGUCCAACGUUAAUCGGGGCAGGGUGAGUCGACCCCUAAGGCGAGGCCGAAAGGCGUAGUCGAUGGGAAACGGGUUAAUAUUCCCGUACUUGGUGUUACUGCGAAGGGGGGACGGAGAAGGCUAUGUUGGCCGGGCGACGGUUGUCCCGGUUUAAGCGUGUAGGUGUGUGUUCCAGGUAAAUCCGGUUCACUUUAACACUGAGGCGUGAUGACGAGGCACUACGGUGCUGAAGCAACAAAUGCCCUGCUUCCAGGAAAAGCCUCUAAGCAUCAGGUAACAUCAAAUCGUACCCCAAACCGACACAGGUGGUCAGGUAGAGAAUACCAAGGCGCUUGAGAGAACUCGGGUGAAGGAACUAGGCAAAAUGGUGCCGUAACU